rnacentral:rRNA from 1 species
UACGUAGGGUGCAAGCGUUAAUCGGAAUUACUGGGCGUAAAGCGUGCGCAGGCGGCUUUUUAAGUCUGUUGUGAAAGCCCCCGGCUCAACCUGGGAAUUCCGUUGGAGACUGCAAGGCUUGAAUCUGGCAGAGGGGGGUAGAAUUCCACGUGUAGCAGUGAAAUGCGUAGAGAUGUGGAGGAACACCCAUGGCGAAGGCAGCCCCCUGGGUCAAGAUUGACGCUAAUGCACGAAAGCGUGGGGAGCAAACAGG